CCUACGGGAGGCAGCAGUGGGGAAUAUUGCGCAAUGGGGGAAACCCUGACGCAGCAACGCCGCGUGAGUGAGGAAGGACUUCGGUCUGUAAAGCUCUGUUAAUGAGGAAAAAUGGUAGUUGGUCUAAUAGGCUGAUUAUUUGAUGGUACUCAUAGAGGAAGCACCGGCUAACUUCGUGCCAGCAGCCGCGGUAAUACGAAGGGUGCAAGCGUUGUUCGGAUUUAUUGGGCGUAAAGCGCGCGUAGGCGGACCCGCAAGUCAGAUGUGAAAUCUCGAGGCUCAACCUCGAAACUGCGUCUGAAACUACUGGUCUAGAAUCUCGGAGGGGGAAGGGGAAUAUCGCAUGUAGGGGUAAAAUCCGUAGAUAUGCGAUGGAACACCAGAGGCGAAGGCGCCUUCCUGGACGAGUAUUGACGCUGAGGCGCGAAAGCGUGGGGAUCGAACAGGAUUAGAUACCCUGGUAGUCCACGCUGUAAACGAUGAACACUAGAUAUUGGAGGAUUUGACCCCUUCAGUGUCGCAGCUAACGCGUUAAGUGUUCCGCCUGGGAAGUACGGUCGCAAGACUAAAACUCAAAUGAAAUUGACGG
rnacentral:rRNA from 1 species